rnacentral:rRNA from 1 species
AGCGAACGCUGGCGGCAGGCCUAACACAUGCAAGUCGAACGAACCUUUCGGGGUUAGUGGCGGACGGGUGAGUAACACGUGGGAACGUGCCUUUAGGUUCGGAAUAACUCAGGGAAACUUGUGCUAAUACCGAAUGUGCCCUUCGGGGGAAAGAUUAAUCGCCUUUAGAGCGGCCCGCGUCUGAUUAGCUAGUUGGUUGAGGUAAUGGCUCACCAAGGCGACGAUCAGUAGCUGGUCUGAGAGGAUGAUCAGCCACAUUGGGACUGAGACACGGCCCAAACCGCUACGGGGGGGAGCAGGGGGGGAUCUUGGGAAAUGGGCGAAAGCCUGACGGCGCCGUGCCGGGGGAAUGGUGAAGGUCUGAGGAUUGUAAAAUUUUUUCACCGGGGGAGAAAAUGGCGGGACCCGGAGAAAAAGCCCCCGCUAACUUCG